AAACGAUGUCGUUUUACCGGUGACUUCGUCAACAAUCAGCUGCGGCGAAAUCAACCCUCGAUGUCCAAGUGUCUAGUGGGUUAACAACACAGAUACCGAAAGAAGAAGCCAUUGACGUAUAUCGUGUGGAGUUCCAAAAACAAACUAAUCGCAAUGGCGACGCUCACCGUCCUUCCUCUCCUCAUCUUCUUCAUCCUCUUCCCCCAUUCUUAUUCAGACCCUGAUCCUACUUCUAAAACUUUGGAUUCCAAUAUUUCGGCCGCUCACGCUGAACUCAGCAACUACGGCUUUCCAGUCGGUCUUCUUCCCACCAACGUCAUAGACUAUUCCAUCAAUCAGACCUCUGGAGAAUUUUCCGUCAAACUCGGCUACUCCUGCAAAUUCACGCUCCCUCCCGACAACUACUUGGCCACCUACUCCCCCAAGAUCUCCGGCAAGAUUGUCCAUGGCCACAUCGCCAGCCUUGCCGGCAUUAGGGUUAGGGCUUUCUUCCAGUGGUGGUCCAUCACUGGGAUUCGUUCCUCCGGCGAUAAUUUGGUCUUUGAGGUUGGCGUCGUCACGGCCAAGUACCCGGCCAAGAAUUUCCACGAGACUCCUGUUUGUGAGGGGCAUAGAUCGGUUAUGUAAUUUGUUGUCAACAUUUACAGGUGAAGCAACUGUAUUAAAAGCGCCUAAGGUAUACAUGAUAUAUACAAGGGGCUUUCGGUUACUUUUCCACUGGACUAGGUCGUAUGCUGUGAGGAAAUCCUUAGGGAAUCAAAUGCUCCGUUAGUUGUUUGUAUUGUCAGAAACUUUAAGGGUAAAAGACUAUCAUGUUUCUAUUGUGUAUAUGCCACCACAUUUCAGGGCUAUUGAACUUUUCCUUACAAUUUGGUGUCUUGGAAUAUUCUCCAACUCUUUAUA